UACGGAGGCUGCGAGCGUUGUUCGGAAUUACUGGGCGUAAAGAGUGUGUAGGCGGUGCUCUAAGUUCGGUGUGAAAUCUCCUGGCUUAACUGGGAGGGUGCGCCGGAAACUGGAAUGCUCGAGCGUGGGAGAGGAAAGCGGAAUUCCUGGUGUAGCGGUGAAAUGCGUAGAUAUCAGGAGGAACACCUGUGGUGUAGACGGCUUUCUGGACCAUUGCUGACGCUGAGACACGAAAGCGUGGGUAGCAAACAGGAUUAGAUACCCUGGUAGUCCACGCCCUAAACGAUGCAUACUUGGUGUCGGCCAUUCAGUUGGUCGGUGCCGGAGCUAACGCGUUAAGUAUGCCGCC
rnacentral:rRNA from 1 species